rnacentral:tRNA from 1 species
UCCCUGGUGGCUCUGUGGUAAAGAAUUUGCCUGCAAUGCAGGAGACCUGGGUUCAAUCCCAGGUUGGGAA